AAAAGGCUCAAGAAACCUUGGCCUCAUCUAACUUGAUGAGGAACUUGAUCACAGUAAUGAAAGCAUUCUCCAAGGAUCUUGCAAAGGGCCUGAAAGAUCUCGACCUAGGAGCAGACAGUCCACCAAUGCAAAGGAGUCUUGGAAUAAGCUGGGACAUUGCAACAGAUGAGUUCACCUUCCAAGUGUCUACCGCUGAGAAGCCCUACACUCGUAGAGGGGUACUUUCCAUCAUUAACAGCUUGUAUGACCCUCUAGGUUUCGCAGCUCCGGUCAGCAUCAAAGGCAGGGCCCUUUUGAGAGAGCUUUCAAUGGAUGCAGGUGGAUGGGACGACCCACUUCCAGAACGAAUGCAAGAAGAAUGGAGUACAUGGAAGGAAUCCCUGAAGCAUCUUGAACAAGUGCGAAUACCAAGAAUGUACACAUCCAUAUCCUUCUGUGGUGCAGCCAAAAGGGAGCUCUGUAUAUUCUGUGACGCGUCCACCAAAGCUAUUGCUGCCGUAGCUUAUGUAAAGAUCACAGAUACAGAAGGCAAGAGCGAACUUGGAUUUGUGUUUGGCAAAGCUAAACUUGCCCCACAACAAGACAUAACUAUCCCGAGGCUGGAACUAUGUGCAGCUGUUCUUGCCAUCGAGAUUGCAGACUUGAUUGCAGAGGAGAUUGAUGUUCCAUUCCAUUGUACAAGGUUCUUCACAGACAGCAAGGUAGUACUUGGAUACAUACAAAAUGAAUCCAGGAGAUUCUAUGUCUACGUGUGUAACCGAGUUCAAAGGAUUAGAAAAUCAUCCAGCCCAGAACAAUGGAAUUACGUGCAGACAGAUUUAAACCCAGCCGAUGUAGCUUCCAGGUCCAUUCCAGCAAACACUUUGAUGUCCAGCAUGUGGCUCAAAGGACCAGAUUUCCUGCUACGAGCGCACGCGAAAGAAACCAAGUGCUGUUUUGAGUUACUCAGUCCAGACUCUGACCCUGAGAUUCGCCCUACGGUGAUGGCCUUUGCAACUCGUCUCAUAGACUCUUUCCUAG
ensembl:lncRNA